rnacentral:tRNA from 3 species
GACUGUGUAAUUAAAAAAUAAUAUUGGUCUUGUAAACCAAAUUUAGAGGAAUCUCUCAGUCU